UUCCCCACAUUUAGUGCUGUGUCAUAGGAUUUAUGUCUUUUUUUACCCAUUUAUAAUCUUUUGAAAAAGAAAGCAGAAUAAGAUUAAAAGAUGGGCUGUUUCAGACAAGAGAUCCAGGGCAGGCAUCUUUGAUAUAGGGCCAUUUUAUUAUUACACUGAAUGUGACAUCAUAGGCAUUCAGAAUCUGGUGAAAAAAUCUUCUAGGAGCAGCUAACAAGAAUCCUAAUACAGGAGUGUUUAUGGUUGGGUUGAGACACAUUCAGUAGCUGAGUGAUUGACAGCAAGAGGAGCAAGACAUGAGGUAGAUUUGUAUUAUAUUCUCAGUGAAACGGGAUAGCUUUAGAAGCUUUUUAAUAAAAAGGAUAUAUGAUCUAAAUUUCCUACUGUUAAUAAUUAUCAAAUAUAUGGCAAUGCUGGACUUUAGCUGAUCAUCGUGCUUCUGGAAAACAACAAAAAUUGAGAUAUCUGUUCACCACUUUGUGUGUCCAAGGACCACCUACUUUUUACAUGUGACAAGAACUACCCACCUCCACUCUUCAGGAUAGAACAUGCUGAAGAAAAGAGUUGCAAUGAGAAAAUAUAUGGGAACAAAAUACCUAUGCAAUGCAGAAGUCUGCAUAACUGAACCACUCAGAGGAAAAAGUUUCCCUCCCAGGCUGGAGUACAAUGGCGCGACCUCGGCUCACUGCAACUUCCACCUCCCAGUUCAAGCAAUUCUCCCACCUCAGCUUCCUUAGUAGCUGGGAUUACAAGUGCCUGACACCAGGCCAAGCUAUUUUUGUAUUUUUAGUAGAGACGGGGUUUCACCAUUUUGACCAGGCUGGUCUCAAACUCCUGACCUCAGUCCAUCGGUCCACCUCGGCCUCCCAAAGUGCUGGGAUUGCAGGCAUGAGCCACCGCUCCUGGCCUCAAGUUUAAUUCUUAAAUUGCCAUUUCAGGACACCUCCUACAUCUGAGGAAAUAUGCAUUGAUCUUGCAGUACUUUUCUCCUCCAAAUAAAAGUCAGUAUGAUAACAACUACACUAUCAGAAGUCUAAGCCAAAGGACACUUCAGUUAUCCAAUCUUGCAACAAAUACAUUUAAGCACUUAAUAUGGGCUACUGUUGGUACUAGGGGCAUUGAGAACUUCAGAUUUGAUUAACACCCAAGAGCUGCUACCAUAAAAUAAACUAGGCAGCUACUAGGCAAUAAGAUGAGGCACAUGUGUAAAACUUCUGCUUUUAGCUUGGUGAAGAGUGGUUACACAG
rnacentral:lncRNA from 1 species